AACAAUAAAAAUAUUUAAAGUUAUAAUUUAUAAUACUAUUAUAGGUGGUACGAUCGAAUAGGUAGCAUCAUAACCGAUAACCGGUAGAUCGGUAGAAUAACUACAAUAGUUGUACUACGGUGUUGGGUAUCGGUAUUUUAGCUUACAAAUCUGCAUAUCACCAUUCUAAUAAUAUAGGUUUACAACAGGUUAAAUGCAGGGAAAAUUGAAAUUCGCACGUCAUUGUCAACGAUCCGAGUACCUACGUAUACCUGUAUACAUCGUAGAUAGAUAUAUAUAUAUAUUUUUUAUUUUUCCAUUCAGCAAUGACCUAUAGGUACCUACUGCACGUGGAAAUGCUAAAAAAUCACCAGAGGUGAAAACGACUAGGUGUGCACUGCGAAAACGAUUUAUUGCAGGAAUCGCACUCCGUAACCUGUACACGAGUAGGCUGCACUCCGUGGCAAUUUGGCAAUAGCCAAAUAGGUACACGCGCGAAUUUCACCGAUUAUGCAGACGGUUUCGUUAUAAUAUUAUUGAGGCGCCAAAUAAUAUUAUUAUUAUUAUUAUUAUUAUUGCAGUCGUUGAGGUACCUGAUAAAAAUUUAAAAUCGGUUUUGUAAAAAAUAUUACUUAUUAGUACAUUAUAACAAUAUAUUAUACACGGGUAUAUACAUGUAUACGUUGGCGGCUAAUCGGUUUACUCGUUUGUCCGAAACUCGUAUGAUGUGGGUACCCAUGGGAUACACACGAUGAUUUACAUUUACCUUUGGGAGAUCUUC